rnacentral:rRNA from 1 species
AGAGUUUGAUCCUGGCUCAGGACGAACGCUGGCGGCGUGCUUAACACAUGCAAGUCGAACGAUGAAGCACCAGCUUGCUGGUGUGGAUUAGUGGCGAACGGGUGAGUAACACGUGAGUAACCUGCCCCUCACUCUGGGAUAAGCCUGGGAAACUGGGUCUAAUACUGGAUACGACCGAUCUCCGCAUGGAGUGUUGGUGGAAAGUUUUUGUGGUGGGGGAUGGACUCGCGGCCUAUCAGCUUGUUGGUGGGGUAAUGGCCUACCAAGGCGACGACGGGUAGCCGGCCUGAGAGGGCGACCGGCCACACUGGGACUGAGACACGGCCCAGACUCCUACGGGAGGCAGCAGUGGGGAAUAUUGCACAAUGGGCGAAAGCCUGAUGCAGCGACGCCGCGUGAGGGAUGACGGCCUUCGGGUUGUAAACCUCUUUCACCAGGGACGAAGCUAACGUGACGGUACCUGGAGAAGAAGCACCGGCUAACUACGUGCCAGCAGCCGCGGUAAUACGUAGGGUGCGAGCGUUGUCCGGAAUUAUUGGGCGUAAAGAGCUUGUAGGCGGUUUGUCGCGUCUGCUGUGAAAGACCGGGGCUUAACUCCGGUUCUGCAGUGGGUACGGGCAGACUAGAGUGUGGUAGGGGAGACUGGAAUUCCUGGUGUAGCGGUGAAAUGCGCAGAUAUCAGGAGGAACACCGAUGGCGAAGGCAGGUCUCUGGGCCAUUACUGACGCUGAGAAGCGAAAGCAUGGGGAGCGAACAGGAUUAGAUACCCUGGUAGUCCAUGCCGUAAACGUUGGGCGCUAGGUGUGGGACUCAUUCCACGAGUUCCGUGCCGCAGCUAACGCA